UCUGUAGGUGGCACUUCAAGUCUGCUGUCAAAGACCGAAGCUUAACUUCGGGCAGGCGGUGGAAACUGAAGAGCUAGAGUAAAGCAGGGGUAGAGGGAAUUCCCAGUGUAGCGGUGAAAUGCGUAGAGAUUGGGAAGAACACCAGUGGCGAAGGCGCUCUACUGGGCUAAAACUGACACUGAGAGACGAAAGCUAGGGUAGCGAAAG
rnacentral:rRNA from 1 species